GGGCCUUUGUGAAUUAAGUUGUCAUACAACUUAAGUCAAUGGGCUUGACGUUCGAAGCCUAUUGGGCCUUAAGGUCCAAAACUAUCCCGAGGUCUUUAACGAACUUAUUCCUUUAAUUAAUUAACAUAUUAAUUAAUCCUUGCCAUAAAUAAUUAAACCAUUUAAUUAUUCUUACUCAUCUCCGUUGUUUCUUCAAUCUCCACCUUACACGGUGUACGAUCCAUUAGGUUCCUUUUAGCGAGGC
rnacentral:lncRNA from 1 species